AGUCGAGCGGUAGCACAGAGAGCUUGCUCUCGGGUGACGAGCGGCGGACGGGUGAGUAACGCGUAGGAAUCUACCGAGUAGUGGGGGAUAGCCCGGGGAAACCCGGAUUAAUACCGCAUACGCCCUAAGGGGGAAAGUGGGGGAUCUUCGGACCUCACGCUAUUUGAUGAGCCUGCGUAGGAUUAGCUAGUUGGUGGGGUAAAGGCCUACCAAGGCGACGAUCCUUAGCUGGUCUAAGAGGAUGAUCAGCCACACUGGGACUGAGACACGGCCCAGACUCCUACGGGAGGCAGCAGUGGGGAAUAUUGGACAAUGGGGGCAACCCUGAUCCAGCCAUGCCGCGUGUGUGAAGAAGGCUUUCGGGUUGUAAAGCACUUUCAGUGGUGAGGAAAGGUGAGUGGUUAAUACCCGCUUACUGUGACGUUAGCCACAGAAGAAGCACCGGCUAACUCCGUGCCAGCAGCCGCGGUAAUACGGAGGGUGCGAGCGUUAAUCGGAAUAACUGGGCGUAAAGCGCGCGUAGGUGGUUGAGUCAGUCAGAUGUGAAAGCCCCGGGCUUAACCUGGGAACUGCACCUGAUACUGCUUGACUAGAGUACGGUAGAGGGCAGUGGAAUUUCCUGUGUAGCGGUGAAAUGCGUAAAUAUAGGAAGGAACACCAGUGGCGAAGGCGACUGCCUGGACCGAUACUGACACUGAGGUGCGAAAGCGUGGGUAGCAAACAGGAUUAGAUACCCUGGUAGUCCACGCCGUAAACGAUGUCGACUAGCCGUUGGGAGACUUGAUCUUUUAGUGCGCAGUUAACGCGAUAAGUCGACCGCCUGGGGAGUACGGCCGCAAGGUUAAAACUCAAUGAAUUGACGGGGGCCCGCACAAGCGGUGGAGCAUGUGAUUAAUUCGAAGCAACGCGAAGAACCUUACCUACUCUUGACAUCCAGAGAACUUGGCAGAGAUGCCUUGGUGCCUUCGGGAACUCUGAGACAGGUGCUGCAUGGCUGUCGUCAGCUCGUGUUGUGAAAUGUUGGGUUAAGUCCCGUAACGAGCGCAACCCUUGUCCCUAUUUGCCAGCACUUCGGGUGGGAACUCUAGGGAGACUGCCGGUGACAAACCGGAGGAAGGUGGGGACGACGUCAAGUCAUCAUGGCCCUUACGAGUAGGGCUACACACGUGCUACAAUGGGCGGUACAGAGGGCCGCGACCCCGCGAGGGUGAGCUAAUCUCAGAAAACCGUUCGUAGUCCGGAUUGGAGUCUGCAACUCGACUCCAUGAAGUCGGAAUCGCUAGUAAUCGCGAAUCAGCAUGUCGCGGUGAAUACGUUCCCGGGCCUUGUACACACCGCCCGUCACACCAUGGGAGUGGACUUCACCAGAAGCAGGUAGCUUAACCUUCGGGAGGGCGCUGCCA
rnacentral:rRNA from 1 species